AUUGAACGCUGGCGGCAGGCCUAACACAUGCAAGUCGAACGAGUGGCGGACGGGUGAGUAAUGUCUGGGAAACUGGCUGAUGGAGGGGGAUAACUACUGGAAACGGUAGCUAAUACCGCAUACCAUCGGAUGAGCCCAUGUGGGAUUAGGUAGUGGGUGGGGUAACGGCUCACCUAGGCGACGAUCCCUAGCUGGUCUGAGAGGAUGAACAGCCACACUGGAACUGAGACACGGUCCAGACUCCUACGGGAGGCAGCAGUGGGGAAUAUUGCACAAGGGGCGCAAGCCUGAUGCAGCCAUGCCGCGUGUAUGAAGAAGGCCUUCGGGUUGUAAAGUACUUUCAGUGGUGAGGCGUUACCCACAGAAGAAGCACCGGCUAACUCCGUGCCAGCCGCCGCGGUAAUUC
rnacentral:rRNA from 1 species